rnacentral:rRNA from 1 species
AUUGAACGCUGGCGGCAUGCCUAACACAUGCAAGUCGAACGGCAGCACAAUAAAGAUUUCGGUCUUUAUGGGUGGCGAGUGGCGGACGGGUGAGUAACGCGUAGGAAUCUGUCCUGGAGAGUGGGAUAACCCGAGGAAACUCGGGCUAAUACUGCAUGACAUUGAGAGAUCAAAAGCAGGGGACCGAAAGGCCUUGCGCUCUGGGGUGAGCCUACGUCGGAUUAGCUAGUUGGUGGGGUAAAGGCCUACCAAGGCGACGAUCCGUAGCUGGUCUGCGCGGAUGACCAGCCACACUGGGACUGAGACACGGCCCAGACUCCUACGGGAGGCAGCAGUGGGGAAUCUUGGACAAUGGGGGAAACCCUGAUCCAGCGAUGCCGCGUGUGUGAAGAAGGCCUUCGGGUUGUAAAGCACUUUAGGUGGGGAAGAAAGGUAGCGAGUGAAUAACUUUCUGCUGUGACGGUACCCACAGAAUAAGCACCGGCUAACUCUGUGCCAGCAGCCGCGGUAA